GGGUCAGUAGGUUGGUCAUGCCAAUGGUAUGCACUGGCUUUAUUGAUUCCUACCUCUUGACGAACUGUGAUGCCAUUAAUUUGGUGUCUCAAGGAAUCAGGACUGUUACCUUGAAAAAAUUAGAGUGUUUAAAGCAGGCUUACGCUUGAAUACAUUAGCAUGGAAUAAUGAAAUAGGACGUUUGAACCUAUUUUGUUGGUUUCUAGGAUCGACGUA
rnacentral:rRNA from 1 species